GACGAACGCUGGCGGCGUGCUUAACACAUGCAAGUCGAGCGGUAAGGCCCUUUCGGGGGUACGACGAGCGGCGAACGGGUGAGUAACACGUGGGUGACCUGCCCUCAGCUCUGGGAUAAGCCCGGGAAACUGGGUCUAAUACCGGAUAUGACUUCAUGACGCAUGUUGUGGAGUGGAAAGCCUUGUGCGGCUGAGGAUGGGCCCGCGGCCUAUCAGCUUGUUGGUGGGGUGAUGGCCUACCAAGGCGACGACGGGUAGCCGGCCUGAGAGGGCGACCGGCCACACUGGGACUGAGAUACGGCCCAGACUCCUACGGGAGGCAGCAGUGGGGAAUCUUGCGCAAUGGGCGAAAGCCUGACGCAGCGACGCCGCGUGGGGA
rnacentral:rRNA from 1 species